UUGCGGUUAAAAAGCUCGUAGUUGGAUUUCUGUUGAGGAAGUCCGGUCCGCACUUUGUGCGUGAUCUGGUUCUGCCUCGGCAUCCUCGCGGGGAACGCGCUGCGCUUGAUUGCGUGGUGCGGUAUUCGCGACUUUUACUUUGAGGAAAUUAGAGUGUUCACGGCAGGCUAUCGCCUUGAAUACGUUAGCAUGGAAUAAUAAUAUAGGACCUUGGUUCUAUUUUGUUGGUUUCUAGAACUAAGGUAAUGAUUAAUAGGGAUAAUUGGGGGCAUUUGUAUUAACACGUCAGAGGUGAAAUUCUUGGAUUGUGUUACGACAAACUACUGCGAAAGCAUUUGCCAAGGAUGUUUUCAUUGAUCAAGAACGAAAGUAAGGGGAUCGAA
rnacentral:rRNA from 1 species